CCUACGGGUGGCUGCAGUGGGGAAUAUUGGACAAUGGGGGCAACCCUGAUCCAGCCAUGCCGCGUGUGUGAAGAAGGCCCUCGGGUUGUAAAGCACUUUCAGUGAGGAAGAACGCCUAGUGGUUAAUACCCAUCAGGAAAGACAUCACUCACAGAAGAAGCACCGGCUAACUCCGUGCCAGCAGCCGCGGUAAUACGGAGGGUGCGAGCGUUAAUCGGAAUUACUGGGCGUAAAGCGCGCGUAGGUGGCUUGAUAAGCCGGUUGUGAAAGCCCCGGGCUCAACCUGGGAACGGCAUCCGGAACUGUCAAGCUAGAGUGCAGGAGAGGAAGGUAGAAUUCCCGGUGUAGCGGUGAAAUGCGUAGAGAUCGGGAGGAAUACCAGUGGCGAAGGCGGCCUUCUGGACUGACACUGACACUGAGGUGCGAAAGCGUGGGUAGCAAACAGGAUUAGAUACCCGGGUAGUC
rnacentral:rRNA from 1 species